rnacentral:rRNA from 1 species
AUAGGGGGGGAUAACCUCUGGAAACUGUCGCUAACACCACAAAAUCUCACAACACCAAAGAGGGACACUUUCGCCCCUCUCACUAUCGGAAGAACCCAUAUGAGAUUAUCUAGUGCGCGGUGUAAUGGCCCCCCUGCGACAAUAUCCCUAUCUUGUCAGAGAAGAAAACCCCCCACACUGAAACUGACACACUGCCCACACUCCUACGGGACGCAACUGUGGAAAAUAUUGCACAGUGGGCGCACCCCUGAUGCCCCCGUGCCGCGUGUAUAAAAAGCGCCUUCGGUUUGUAAUGUAUUUUCCGCGGAGAAGAACGACAUGGGGUUAAUAACCGUGUCUAUUGACUUUCCCCGCAAAAAAAGCCCCGGCAAACUCCGUGCCCACCCCCGCGGUAAUACAGAGGGUGCACGCGUAUCUCAAAAUUAGUGGGUGUAAAGCGCACGCGCGCUGUCUGUUAUCUCAUAUGUAAACUCCCCGGUCUUAACCUGGAAACUGCUUUUGACUCUGGCGCGCUUGACUCGUGUAGAGGGGUGUAGAAUUCCAGGUGUAGCGGUGAAAUGCGUAGAGAUCUGGAGGAAUACCGGUGGCGAAGGCGGCCCCCUGGACAAAGACUGACGCUCAGGUGCGAAAGCGUGGGGAGCA